rnacentral:rRNA from 1 species
GACGAACGCUGGCGACGCGCCUAACACAUGCAAGUCGAACGGAGUUGAGAGGAGCUUGCUUUUCUUGACUUAGUGGCGAACGGGUGAGUAACGCGUGAGGAACCUGCCUCAAAGAGGGGGACAACAGUUGGAAACGACUGCUAAUACCGCAUAAGCCCACGGUUCUGCAUGGAACUGAGGGAAAAGGAGCAAUCCGCUUUGAGAUGGCCUCGCGUCCGAUUAGCUGGUUGGUGAGGUAACGGCCCACCAAGGCAACGAUCAGUAGCCGGACUGAGAGGUUGAACGGCACAUUGGGACUGAGAUACGGCCCAGACUCCUACGGGAGGCAGCAGUGGGGAAUAUUGCACAAUGGGGGAAACCCUGAUGCAGCGACGCCGCGUGGAGGAAGAAGGUUUUCGGAUUGUAAACUCCUGUCUUCGGGGACGAUAAUGACGGUACCCGAGGAGGAAGCCACGGCUAACUACGUGCCAGCAGCCGCGGUAAAACGUAGGUGGCAAGCGUUGUCCGGAAUUACUGGGUGUAAAGGGCGCGCAGGCGGGCAGGCAAGUCAGUCGUGAAAUGCCGGGGCUCAACCCCGGAGCUGCGAUUGAAACUGCAGGUCUUGAGUAUCGGAGAGGAAAGCGGAAUUCCCAGUGUAGCGGUGAAAUGCGUAGAUAUUGGGAGGAACACCAGUGGCGAAGGCGGCUUUCUGGACAGUAACUGACGUUGAGGCACGAAAGUGUGGGGAGCAAACAGGAUUAGAUACCCUGGUAGUCCACACCGUAAACGAUGGAUACUAGGUGUAGGGGAUGAAUAAUCUUCUGUGCCGUCGCAAACGCAGUAAGUAUCCCACCUGGGGAGUACGGCCGCAAGGUUGAAACUCAAAGGAAUUGACGGGGGCCCGCACAAGCAGUGGAGUAUGUGGUUUAAUUCGACGCAACGCGAAGAACCUUACCAGGGCUUGACAUAUAGAUGAAAGUCUAAGAGAUUAGACCCCUCUUCGGAGCGUGUAUACAGGUGGUGCAUGGUUGUCGUCAGCUCGUGUCGUGAGAUGUUGGGUUAAGUCCCGCAACGAGCGCAACCCCUGUUCUUAGUUGCCAGCACGUAAAGGUGGGGACUCUAAGAAGACUGCCGGUGACAAAUCGGAGGAAGGUGGGGACGACGUCAAAUCAUCAUGCCCUUUAUGUCCUGGGCUACACACGUACUACAAUGGCUGUAACAAAGGGAAGCGAACCCGCGAGGAGGAGCAAAACCCAAAAAAGCAGUCUCAGUUCGGAUUGAAGGCUGAAAUUCGCCUUCAUGAAGCCGGAAUUGCUAGUAAUGGCAGGUCAGCAUACUGCCGUGAAUACGUUCCCGGGCCUUGUACACACCGCCCGUCACACCAUGAGAGUUGGGAAUACCCGAAGCCUGUGAGCUAACUUUUCAAGAGGCAGCAGUCGAAGGUAGAAUCAAUGAUUGGGGUGA